UACAGAGGGUGCGAACGUUGUUCGGAAUCACUGGGCAUAAAGCGCUCGUAGGCGGCACCGCAAGUGUGGGGUGAAAUCCCACGGCUUACCCGUGGAACUGCCUGGCAGACUGCGGUGCUAGAGGAUGGUAGGGGAGAGCGGAACUCUUGGUGGAGCGGUGAAAUGCGUAGAUAUCAAGAGGAACACCAGUGGCGAAGGCGGCUCUCUGGUCCAAACCUGACGCUGAGGAGCGAAAGCUAGGGGAGCAAACGGG
rnacentral:rRNA from 1 species